CACCUCCAAAAGGUAAUAAUUCAUAAUUUUGUCCUUUAUAAUCAAUAUUAUUUUCUAUAAACCUUUCUGGGAUAAACUCUUCAGGGUUAACCCAACACUCUGGAUCUCGUCCAAUGGCCCAUACAUUGACAUGAAGAUGAGCCUUUGGAUGUAUAUCAUAACCAUUAAGCUUAAAAUGAGACGUGGUUUCUCUUGGAAUGAGAAGUGGGACUGGUGGGUGCAACCUUAGAACCUCUUUCACUACCAUUUUUAGAUAUGGAAGCCUUUCAAGGUCCGUUUCUUUUACUUGUUCCUUUUUUAUGUAGCUUCUAAUUUGGUCUUGUAGCUUUUUCAUUACUCUAGGCUUUCUAAUUAGCUCUGCCAUUGCCCAAACAAUGGUGUUUGCUCCAGUUUCCACUCCUGCUAUAAAGAUAUCCUAAAAAGAACAACACUUAAAAUGAAACUUGAAUUUUGUUUGAUAGCAAUAAGAUUAAAAAAUGAAAGUUGAAUUUUGUUUGAUAACAAUUAACUUUUUUUUAAAAAAAAAAAAAUUUAAAAGAAUAAUAUUGACACACCCAUUUUUAUGUGUUAGACUCUUUCUAAGCCUACCGAAAAAACAAUCAAAAUAACUUAAAAGUAAAGUAAAGAAUAUCGAAUAGUUUAAUAGGAUGGACAAAGGUAUAGAUGCACCUAAAUCUUUCUAUUUUGAAAAUUAAACUUAUGAACGUUAUUUUAUAUCUUACAUCUUUUUUUUUGUUAUCUAAUAAUUUUUUCACAAAUAUUUCAUAAAACCAUUCAAAGUUCUGAAAACUAAAUACCGCCACGUGCUAGAGACGAUGCGGAACGGCCAACGUCCUCAAAAGAGCUAUUUUUAAAAGAAAAUAGGAGUUUUAAUCUCUUGACACUAGUCUCCUUUUUUUAAAAAAAAAAUUAUGUUUAGACACAUUUAGAUGGGUUGCAGAAAAUAAGUGAUGCAUGCAUAUAAUUAGACACACUUAUGUUUUUUUACGAGGAAAAAAAGACUUAGAUACAACGUCAGAUUGUACCUAUUACAAAAAGAAGAAAAAAAAGAUUAAAAACAAAAAUUCAUAACUUAUGAUUAGACACAUUUAGAUGAGUUGCACAACACUAACUGAUGCAUGCUAAAAAAUAUAGUUGGACGAUGGGUAGGUUGGACCCAUCUAAUUUAUGCAACUUUACUCAAUUAAAAAUUUUAAUGUGACCCAAGUAAUUUUGUGUGUGUGUGUGUGUUUUUUUUUAUUGAAUUGUUAUUUUUUUGCUGUAUAAUAUAUAUAUGACAGCUCGGAGAUAACUACUAAUUGCCAUUUUUCUUUUUGACUUUAGUUAAGAAUUUAAAUGUUUCUAAGGAUGAACUGACCCCUCUAUUAUUGUUCCCAUGUGAAAAAAUCUAACUAAUUUUCAAGAAUGAAAUGAUUAUAAAAUACAGAACCACGUAAUUAAAAUUUUAAAAUAUUUAGCUUAUUACCUUGAUUAUUGCUUUAAUGCAAUCUUGUGUAAGGAUGAGUGCAUCAGAUUGAAAGCCGUCUCUCUUCAUUCUCAACAAAACAUCAACAAUGUUUUCUUCAUUUCCAGAAGUUCCCUUGUCCAUGUUUAUACGAUCAUCGACUACCUUUUGAAAAAAAGCAUCCAUCUCACCAAAGCUCUUCUCCAGCUUCCCAUGAACACCACUGAUUCGAUCAACAAUCCAACCGAAACUCGGAAAGAAAUCGCUAAUUGAGAAGCCUUUAAUGGCGUCAAUUGUUCUGCGCAUAACCUUUUGAAAAUUUUGGUUAUCUAGUUCACC
rnacentral:lncRNA from 1 species